UACGUAGGGGGCAAGCGUUGUCCGGAUUUAUUGGGCGUAAAGAGCGUGUAGGCGGCCGUACAGGUCAGCUGUGAAAACUCGAGGCUCAACCUCGAGACGUCGGUUGAAACCGUACGGCUAGAGUCCGGAAGAGGAGAGUGGAAUUCCCGGUGUAGCGGUGAAAUGCGUAGAGAUGUGGAGGAACACCGAUGGCGAAGGCAGCCCCCUGGGCUAACACUGACGCUCAUGCACGAAAGCGUGGGGAGCAAACAGG
rnacentral:rRNA from 1 species